rnacentral:rRNA from 1 species
UACGUAGGGGGCAAGCGUUGUCCGGAAUCAUUGGGCGUAAAGCGCGUGUAGGCGGCUCGGUAAGUCCGCUCUGAAAGUCCAGGGCUCAACCCUGGGAUGCGGGUGGAUACUGCCGGGCUCGAGUCCGGAAGAGGCGAGUGGAAUUCCCGGUGUAGCGGUGAAAUGCGCAGAUAUCGGGAGGAACACCAAUGGCGAAGGCAGCUCGCUGGGACGUGACUGACACUCAUCCGCGAAAGCGUGGGGAGCAAACAGG